GGUUCCAUAGUGUAGCGGUCGUUAGCACGUCUGCUUUACACGCAGAAGGUCCUGGGUUUGUGCCCUAGUGGAGCCA
rnacentral:tRNA from 1 species